CCAUCAAAUCAGGAAAAGAUCAUUGCAGAACUCAUUGUGAGAAAGUAAGCCACCACUCUCCACCCAGUCACCAGCCAGAACUCCACCCAGGGGUGGAGGCAGAAUUUGAUUCCAUAGUGCCCAUCUGGCCUCCCCUCUGACAAUUUCCAGCCACCAAGGACUUCUGUUCUCCCUCCCAAAUGCUCUGGAAUCCUUUCCCCUCUGUUACUUCCACUGCCUUUAAUUGGAAGCCUCAUUCUUCUCUUGGAUGAAUAAUAAGUGUCUGUC